GCCGAAAUAGCUCAGUUGGGAGAGCGUUAGACUGAAGAUCUAAAGGUCCCUGAAAAAGGGUUCAAUCCGGGUUUCGGCA